ACAUGUACUUGUAAUAAUGGUUAUCAACUCACUAAUGAUAAUCACACUUGUACUGAUAUUGAUGAGUGCACUCUUAAUAAUAAUGGAGGAUGUGAACAAACAUGUCAUAAUACUGAUGGUAGUUAUUAUUGUUCCUGUCCUAAUGGAUACUCCAUUGAUGCUAAUGGUCACAACUGUAUAGAUAUCAAUGAAUGUGUUGCUGACAAUGGUAACUGCAGUCAUGAUUGUACUAACACUCCUGGUUCAUAUUUGUGUUCUUGUAAUAAUGGAUACAGUAUUGAUACUGAUGGUCACAACUGCUCUGAUAUCAAUGAGUGUGAUACUAAUAAUGGAGGAUGUGAGCAAACAUGUCAUAAUACUGAUGGU